UCUAGUGAUGAACAAAUUUUAUUCACACUGUAAGAGACCUCGGUCGCUGAAUUUAACAAAAAAUUACUGAUUUAAUGAAUCUGAUA
rfam:Pichia membranifaciens NRRL Y-2026 unplaced genomic scaffold PICMEscaffold_4, whole genome shotgun sequence.